CUAUCCAUAGCAGUUUUUGUCAUUCAUUGUUCAGUAAACUGCAACAAAAAAGCAGUUCAACCAUAGACUUAAUGCCUAGACUAUGAACAUUACUGAUGGCCGAGCUGGAAAACGACCAGAGGCCAAGGGGAGGCCCACAUGUCACCUGGCUGUGGUGGAUGCUAUACAAAUCAUGAAUGUUUAUGAGUGCAAUGGUAGCAAAGGUAACUCGGUAACUCGGCUGGGCCUCGUUGAAUGGAACAUUCCAUCUUUCACCUCAUGAAAUAUUUGUUCCAUUGAAUGAAUGAAAAACAUUCAUUAUUUGUUUUAUAUAACACCUAAAAUAGAUCCUUGUCAAUUGAUAUUUUAUUAAUUUAUAAACAAGAGAAAAGGGAGUUGCGCCCUUCUUGAUGCUACAGUGUCUGCCAUGGCUCGGUAGUGAGACCUAGAUGCCCCGUGUCACCCAGGUGUCAUCUGACAGAGCCCGCUGUUGCCCAGUGCCCCCCCUUGCAAGCCCAGAACUACACAGCACUGCCUCCAGCAAACACUGCUUUCUCAGGACUCCCCUGACUCGCUUUCAAGCCCCCUCGGCGGAUCUAGCCUCCCUGUCUGUUACCCAGUGAGCCUGAGCGCUGGGCUGCUGUUUGUUUUAAAGUGUCAUCGCUGCUAGUGUGAGCGCACGGCGGUGUAUAAUAGCACAAAAUGUAUAGAACCAAAAUUGGAUGGUAAAUGGAACACAACGGCAAAUGGUACAAGGAAUCCAUAUCACGUGACAUACAAACCACCAAUCAAAUGACAAGGAUGUAUUCAGGUGUUAUAUAAACUGCUACUGUUGGGAGGUGGGGAUGGACCGGUGGUCUGUCUAGAUGGAUCCAGAGCAGUACUGUCACGUGGUGGAUGCAAUGCCAUGUGCUGCCAGUGCUUGCUCCCAGACCUGACCUUCUCCACUGAGUGAACAAAGUCAUCAUUAUUCAUCAUUAUAUCAUCAUUAUUUGCUAAUGUGGUAUUGGGGAUGGUGAGAAAACAGAAUGUGACACAUCCACAGGUAAGAAAUGAACCUCAUGGGUUAAGGCAGGAGGCUGUGCUGUAUCUGCGGUGGCUGUGAUUCCCAUGGCAACAAUCCUUUGAAUUUAUUGUUGUUAGGAGCUAUUUCUUGAGGAGCUAUCAGUUCAUAAGAGCUCACAGUGUACUAGACAACUAUCGGUAUAGUUAGGGAAAAUAAUUCACAUUUUUUCACACACACACAAAAAAAAAAAAAAAAGAAA